rnacentral:lncRNA from 1 species
GGCAGGGUCAGGUUAUGGAACAGGAAGUGAAAACCCUAUUAGAGAAGGAGGCCAUCGAGGUGGUCCCUCCUCAAGACAGGGAGUCUGGAUUUUACAACCGGUAUUUCAUAGUUCCCAAGAAGGAUGGGGGGCUGCGUCCGAUUAUAGACUUGAGGGUCUUAAAUCGUUCAGUUAAGAGACUAAAAUUCAGAAUGCUCACAAUCAAGCAAGUUGUAGUGCAGAUCAGGUCCGAGGACUGGUUUGUCACAAUAGAUCUCAAAGACGCAUAUUUUCACAUAUCCAUCCUUCCACAUCACAGGAAGUUUCUGAGGUUCGCUUUCGGGGGCGAAGCUUACCAAUAUCGAGUACUUCCCUUCGGCCUUGCACUCUCACCCCGCACGUUCACAAAAUGUGUAGACGCGGCUCUGGUCCCCCUGCGCAUGCAGGGCAUCCGCAUUCUCAACUAUAUCGACGAUUGGUUGAUCUUAGCUCAGUCAGAGCAGGCUGCGGUUCGGCAUCGAGAUGUCGUCCUCGCACAUACGGGGGAGCUGGGUUUGAGACUGAAUGCCAAGAAGAGUGUGCUUUCUCCGGUUCAGAGAACCACCUAUCUAGGCGUAGUAUGGGAUUCGACCACGAUGCAGGCACGAUUGUCCCCUGCUCGUAUCGAGUCGAUCCGCAUCUCAGUCGAGAGAGUCAAAGAAGGCCAGUCACUCACUGUCAAACAAUUUCAGAGAUUGUUGGGUCUGAUGGCAGCUGCGUCCAACGUGAUACCUCUUGGCCUGCUGUACAUGAGGCCCCUGCAGUGGUGGCUCAAGACCAAGGGAUUUUCCCCGAGGGGCAAUCUACUUCGCACUAUCAAGGUCACGCGGCGUUGCCUACGUGCCUUAGAUGUAUGGAAGAAACCUUGGUUCUUGAAACAGGGCCCGGUGCUGGGAGCUCUUUGUCACCGUGUAACGCUAGCGACAGAUGCAUCCCUCACUGGUUGGGGUGCAGUCAUGAGUGGCCACCCUGCCCGUGGUCUGUGGAGCGAUCGCCAUCGAACAUGGCAUAUCAAUUGUCUAGAAAUGCUAGCAGUUUUUCGUGCACUGAAGCACUUCCUCCCAGACCUAAGGGGUCACCAUGUGUUGGUGCGCACCGACAACACAUCGGUGGUCUCCUAUAUCAACCACCAGGGAGGUCUGCGUUCGCGCCCUUUGUACAAGCUGGCGCACCAGAUCCUGGUGUGGUCCCAGAGCAAACUCCUCUCACUAAGAGCAGUAUAUAUUCCUGGGAAACAAAAUGUGGGAGCAGACAUACUGUCGAGGCAGGGGCCGAGGCCCGGGGAAUGGAAACUUCACCCACAAGUAGUGAAGCAGAUAUGGAGAAUAUUUGCUCUCCGUGGGAGAUACCGAUCAGGACAGACCUUCUGUCGCAGGCGCAGGGUACGA